GAUGAACGCUAGCUACAGGCUUAACACAUGCAAGUCGAGGGGAAACGACAUCGAAAGCUUGCUUUUGAUGGGCGUCGACCGGCGCACGGGUGAGUAACGCGUAUCCAACCUGCCCACCACUUGGGGAUAACCUUGCGAAAGUAAGACUAAUACCCAAUGAUAUCCCACGAAGGCAUCCGAAUGGGAUUAAAGAUUUAUCGGUGAUGGAUGGGGAUGCGUCUGAUUAGCUUGUUGGCGGGGUAACGGCCCACCAAGGCGACGAUCAGUAGGGGUUCUGAGAGGAAGGUCCCCCCACAUUGGAACUGAGACACGGUCCAAACUCCUACGGGAGGCAGCAGUGAGGAAUAUUGGUCAAUGGACGGAAGUCUGAACCAGCCAAGUAGCGUGCAGGAUGACGGCCCUAUGGGUUGUAAACUGCUUUUAUGUGGGAAUAAAGUCGGGGACGUGUCCCUGUUUGCAUGUACCACAGGAAUAAGGACCGGCUAAUUCCGUG
rnacentral:rRNA from 1 species